GACGAACGCUGGCGGCGUGCCUAAUACAUGCAAGUGGGGCGCAAGGACACACACUGUGCUUGCACACCGUGUUUUCUUGAGUCGCGAACGGGUGAGUAACGCGUAGGUAACCUGCCUAUUAGCGGGGGAUAACUAUUGGAAACGAUAGCUAAUACCGCAUAAUAUUAAUUAUUGCAUGAUAAUUGAUUGAAAGAUGCAAGCGCAUCACUAGUAGAUGGACCUGCGUUGUAUUAGCUAGUUGGUAAGGUAAGAGCUUACCAAGGCGACGAUACAUAGCCGACCUGAGAGGGUGAUCGGCCACACUGGGACUGAGACACGGCCCAGACUCCUACGGGAGGCAGCAGUAGGGAAUCUUCGGCAAUGGACGAAAGUCUGACCGAGCAACGCCGCGUGAGUGAAGAAGGUUUUCGGAUCGUAAAGCUCUGUUGUAAGUCAAGAACGUGUGUGAGAGUGGAAAGUUCACACAGUGACGGUAGCUUACCAGAAAGGGACGGCUAACUACGUG
rnacentral:rRNA from 1 species